rnacentral:rRNA from 1 species
GUGCCAGACUCCUACGGGAGGCAGCAGUGAGGAAUAUUGGUCAAUGGGCGGAAGCCUGAACCAGCCAAGUCGCGUGAGGGAAGAAGGCCCUGCGGGUCGCAGACCUCUUUGGACGGGGAGCAAAAGCCGGACGUGUCCGGCUGUGAGAGUACCCGAAGAAAAAGCAUCGGCUAACUCCGUGCCAGCAGCCGCGGUAAUACGGAGGAUGCGAGCGUUAUCCGGAUUUAUUGGGUUUAAAGGGUGCGCAGGCGGAUUUUUAAGUCAGCGGUCAAAUCGUGGGGCUCAACCCCAUCCAGCCGUUGAAACUGGGGAUCUAGAGUGUGCGAGAGGUAUGCGGAAUGCGUGGUGUAGCGGUGAAAUGCAUAGAUAUCACGCAGAACCCCGAUUGCGAAGGCAGCAUACCGGUGCACAACUGACGCUCAGGCACGAAAGCGUGGGUAUCGAACAGGAUUAGAUACCCGAGUAC